GAUGAACGCUGGCGGCGUGCUUAACACAUGCAAGUCGAACGGAAAGGUCCUGCUUUUGUGGGGCGCUCGAGUGGCGAACGGGUGUGUAUCACGCGAGUAUCAUGCCCUUGUCAUUGGGAUAACUCUAGGAAACUGGGGCUCAUACCGGGUAGGAGCUCCUGAUGCAUGUUGGGGGUUGGAAAGUUUCGGCGGUUGGGGAUGGUCUGGCGGGUUACUAGCUUCUUGGUGGGGUAGUGGCUGACAAAGGUUUUGACGGCUAGCCGGCCUAAGAGGGGGAACGGCCACAAGAGGACUAAGGUACGGCCCAGACGCCUACGUGAGGCAGCAGUGGGGAGUAUGGCGCAGUGGGGGGAAGCCUGAGACAGCGACGCCGGGUGCGGGAUACCCGCCUUCGGGUUGUAAACCACUGUCGCCGGUAACAAAGCGUGAGUGACGGUAAUGGGUAAGGAAGCACCGGCUAACUACGUG
rnacentral:rRNA from 1 species